rnacentral:rRNA from 1 species
AUUGAACGCUGGCGGCAUGCCUUACACAUGCAAGUCGAACGGUAACGGGUUAAGCCGACGAGUGGCGAACGGGUGAGUAAUAUAUCGGAACGUGCCCAGUCGUGGGGGAUAACGUAGAGAAAUUUACGCUAAUACCGCAUACGAUCUAAGGAUGAAAGCGGGGGAUCGCAAGACCUCGCGCGAUUGGAGCGGCUGAUAUCAGAUUAGGUUGUUGGUGAGGUAAAAGCUCACCAAGCCGACGAUCUGUAGCUGGUUUGAGAGAACGACCAGCCACACUGGGACUGAGACACGGCCCAGACUCCUACGGGAGGCAGCAGUGGGGAAUUUUGGACAAUGGGCGAAAGCCUGAUCCAGCAAUGCCGCGUGCAGGAAGAAGGCCUUC